GGUUGCUAACUUGCUGGGCAUGAAACUAAAGAGAACACAAGAGCAAACUUUCUUGGUUAUCAUUCGUGAAAGCAUCUCUACCAGCUCAGCCGGAACGCAGCGUCACUGAGUUGUCUCAGAUGAAGUCAUUCACACGUGCACACAUUAGCGUGUAUGCCUUAGGGUCACCCGGGCUUGUCCACUACGGGGGAGGACACUGGCCCAGGGUCUCUAUAUAUCUCUCCUUGCUUUAU